AAUCAACGCUGGCGGCGUGCCUCAGACAUGCAAGUCGAACGCGAAAGUCCCCUUCGGGGGACAAGUAGAGUGGCGCACGGGUGAGUAACACGUAGGUAAUCUACCUUCGGAUGGGGAAUAACAACCGGAAACGGUUGCUAAUACCGCAUAAUGCAGCGGCACCUAAUGGUGACAGUUGUUAAAGCGGGGGAGUCGUAAGACCUCGCGUCUGAAGAGGAGCCUGCGGCGGAUUA
rnacentral:rRNA from 1 species